CCUAACAGUUUAUCUAACCUGCUUGCAAGCCCUGUACCUUGUGCUGAAAAUUUGGGCAAAAACAAUGAAAAUCACAUCUAGAUAAACAUCGAAUAGCUCAUAAAAUCUAAGCGCCAUUACGUGGGAAUGUUUCUAGUAGGUUUUAACAUCCUUUUCGUGUUUUCUUGGAGUACAUUGGGUACAAGUCAGUGGUUUUGGAAAGAAGGUUAAGUUUCCUGACGGCCUUCCUUUUCAUUAUGCAACCGAACUUCAGCCUCACAACUGCAGACCGCAGCCCUUUUAGAAGCCGUCAAGUUUGGGGAGGCACCCCCCCCCCCAAAAAAAACGGUCUCAGGUCCUGCGAGGUGGUUUUGAUGUUUAUACCUCACCCGGCUCAUUUGGCCUUUUAUUCGUAAAAUACAGCUACUCCGGGUUAUCCACUUAACAAUUCUACUAAUUGUAGAAAUCCACUUCCGGAAAAGAUCUCAGCAGUCACCGUUUACUCUUGUCCCCUGCAAGAGAGCUGGACCCAUCUGAAAGGCUUAACACAAGGGUGGGCUUGUUACUUUUGUUGUUGAUUUUGUCUUUACUAAAUACCAGCUAGACUCCUACACUUUUGGUAGUCUUGUUUAGACAUAGCCUGGACUUUUUGUUCUUUCCAAACGUGUGCUGUUUCAAGUAUCCGGAAAAGCCAACGGUUUCACUGUCAAAGACAGACCUUCGGCUACCACUCGCGGAAGGAACGUGUUCUAAAAUGUUUAUGAACCUUUACUUAAGCGUUUACUAGGUUUUUGUGGUGCCCCCUCCCCAAAUUUUGUAUUAUCUCCAGUUUGAUUCCCUUAAGACUUUUAAAAGUAGAGCACAAAGGGAAAUAACUUUUUCCCAAACCCAAAGCCUUUUCUUUGUCCAGGUUAAUCAGUAGUCCAUCUUAAAAACACGUUCUCUGGACUACCAAAAGGGAAAUCCGAGGGAAGCACCGGGAAAGGAGAACUGCUGCGUCUCCGACGUUUGAAGACAUGCCUCAGUUCUCCCGACUGCAAGGGGGACCUGUCUCACGGGCGAGGGCUGAGGAUUUAGAAAAGACAAUGGCGCCGGUGGUUUCCAGACACGCCUUCCACGCAGCUAAAGCGACUGCGGCGACAAGAAACCAGGAAGAGGCCAAGCGGGACAGGAGAUGCUGCCUUUCUUUUCAGCCCGGAUGGCCUAACCUUCACGUCUUCCGUCUUUUGUCAUUGCAUUAUCGCAAAGUCAUCCAUUAACUAAAAAUUUUCGCACAUCAUCCUUCCUCUUUAAUUGUUCAUUGUAACAGCCCUUGAGUGUUUGUACGUCACCAGAUUUUGUUAAUCUAGGUUGCUUGAAACAGAAGGGGUCUCAGAGAUUGACCUAACACAGCUGCCUGUUUUUGUUUGUUUUUUUUUGGAAGGGGGUGUUAGUUGUUUUUUGAGGAGAGCAGUGGUGAGAUAAAGUGGAACGCUGCAGGGCACAUGGUGAUUUAAAACCUAGACCCCAGGACAGGGUGGCCCCACUCUCUGACCCUCUCUUAACUCCAGAGUUUUUAAUUCUAGAACGUGUGCAGAUGUUUACGCAGUACAUUCCAAAAGGAGUAAAUGGAGUCCAUUGGCACGGUAUAGGUUAGGAUGGCCUCUUAAAGACUCUAAUCUGUAUUUUUAAAACCCCUUUGGUUCUUAAAAAUGGCACUGGUUGUGAAAGGGUGAGGGAGCAAGCUUGGGGGCCUUUAGCAAGUGAGGGUUCUGUACCCUGUGCUAACCUCAUAACUUUACUAACCGCCCCCCCUUCCCCGAUAAAGCAAGGCUAGCUUAAGCAGCUAAUUAAAGUGAUGUUGGUGAAGCUGUACUUUUUUAAUCAAUCUUUCUCCCUGUAAGAGUGGAAUAUUACAGAGAAGCCGAUGGUUCCCCUCAGACGCAGUUUUGAUAUUUGCUCAGGCACUGGAAAAUUUUUAGUAGAUUUUUAGGACUGGAAGGAGGAAAAACUGAGUUGGGUCACCUCAUUUUACAAAUGGGAAUUUGGGGGCCUGGGGAGUUUGGGAUUUGCUUAAAAUCAGACACAGCUAAUUAGUA